rnacentral:rRNA from 1 species
UCUGGUGUCGAUGCGCCUGUGGGGCACACCCGUUCCCAUUCCGAACACGAUGGUUAAGACACAGACGGCCGAUGGUACUUUGCUGGAGACGGCACGGGAGAGUAGGUGGAUGCCAGAU